CUAGCCAGUUGUGGGGUUAUUUAUAUCCAAUGCUGUCCAGAGAAACCAUCUUUCACCUGGAUAGAGCUGGCAUCACCCUCCUACCCACCCAUGAAAUCUGAAAAAGGACGGAGUCCCUUCAUGGUCUGCUCGUGGCUGGGCAAUGGCCUAGAAGUAAAGGCUGUAUACAUGCCAUUACUCCUGAACCACCCAUCCAGCAGAGUUUUCCCUUUUUAACAGUGCCUGGACAUGCCUCCACCUCCCGCCUUCUUCUGAAUGGAUCCGUGAUCUUGCAGAGAGUAGCAGAGGCAACUGAUGAUUCUUUUUGCAUGACCAAGGAAAGGAUCAAUGCACAGAGGUGCCCCCACAAACAGUUCCAGGGAGCAAUCUGGGCCCAAGGAUCUUCAGGUGUUUUGUUAACAGUUGAAUCAGGAAUCUUUAACUUCUCCAGUACUAUUGGGACCUCUGACUACAAGCUGCAGAGUGUGGAGACAGCACACUAUCUUUAUCUGGCCAGUGUUGCAAGAUCUUGGUCCUGUGAAUGUUACUCAUCACUCACCAUAUUGUGAGAUUACAAAUAUAUUUAGUCAAAUUGCAUAAAAUU